AGUGUGGCGCUCCGCCUCUUUAGCCUGGACAAGCAGCGCGCACGGACGGAGCGCUGCGCACCGAGAGCUCCGUUGCAGGUGGAAUUUGGAAGGAAGACAAGCCGCCGCCGCCUUUCCUCUUUGCGCGGCCUCUUGGAAGGCGCGCCUUUGCUUCGCCGGAGUGAGACGCUGCUUUGCAGGAAAGAGACGCUCCUGCCUUGCCCAUGGGCAUGUUAGCCGUAGGAUGGCCUCUCUGCCCUGCCUUGCCGUGGGGUUUAAUAAUCCGCGAGACAGAGGAGGAGAAGCAACUUUGGGCGCAGCUACCCUCGGAAAAAGUUUUGGACGUAUUUUGCAAGAGCGUCUUCGGUUCGGGUGGGGGCGCGGAGGACGGAUCCACUUCCCUUCUGCAACUGCUUACUCUACCCAGUUCGGGUUGAACGACAGCUUUCCUUGCUCACCAGUGCCGACAGCUGUACCUUUUGGCCAAAAUAGCACUUUGCGUUGGAAGACCCGGCAGCAGAGCCCUAAAAGCUGAACAACUGAUGGCGUAACUCAGGGAGCUUUGUUGGGGCAGCAACAGGCACACCACCAAACGGCUUUGAAUUCUUCAAAUUGAAAUGCACCAGAGUCUAUCAGAAGCAUACCAGUUGUCCUUGCUCCUUUAGCAAUGUUGAAGCUUUUUUGCUUUGUUUGUCAAGCUGGGCCUUCAACUACCUGCCUCCAAAGAAAGCACUGGAUUCUUAAUAAAAACUCCACAUAUGUCUAAUCUUUCCCA
rnacentral:lncRNA from 1 species